AUAAUUAUAAAGAAAAACUUAUCAUACUUGGAAAAUCUUUCUAUACAUUGUUCUGGAACAUUUAUUAAUCACUUAUACUAAUUAUCAUACAAUCUAAAAAACAAUUGAACAUAUUAUACUCAUCAAUUCAGAAAACACUUCUUACAUUAUAUGGUAUGCAUUGUAUCAUGUUGGAUCAUCUUGACAUAAACAUGGCAAAACACAUAUAUUUGUACAAAUUAUAUAACUAUAACAUUAUAUCUUAUUAUUAAACAUAUUAUAUCAUUUGUCCAACUAUAAGUUAAUUCCCUUAAUGAAGUCCAACUCUAAAUACUAAAACUUCCACAAAGUACAAAUAAAUUGAGUACCGGACAACUGAAUAACUUAUGGCACAACUACGGCUAAUGCGCAGUAUUUUGUCUGGGCCCGCAUUCCACUUUUAUUACCAUAAUAACUAUUGUGUGUUCACACUAUGCGUUCACACUAUGUGUUCACACUAUGUAUUUCAAUUUCAAUUCAAAGAAUUUUUCUCAUUAAAUUACAAAAUUUUCUCUCUCUUUCUUUAUUUCCUUCUUCUCCUUUCUUCUCUCGAAAACUUUUCUUCUCUCCUUCUCUCUUUUCUGACGACGAACUUCCGCCGACGAACAACACGACGAACCUCCGCCGACGCCGAAUCUUUCUCAUAUCCCGCCAGAUCCAAGUUCUCUGGUAAGUUUUGGGUUGGAUUGAAAAGAAAUUAGGGUUUUGAUUUCCCUAUACACUACUUUCAAUAUUCAAACACAAUUUACAGAAAUAACCAUUUACCUCAGAUUCUUCUUCUUCUUCCCCUUCUUUUUCCUCUUCUUCAGGGUUUUCUUCCAUCCCCUGAGACUGCAUUGGUUCCACAUUAUCACCUUCCUGAAAAUUCAUACACAACCAUAAAAUUAAUAUUUCGCGUUAUCUCAGACCAAUAUUAUAAACUUUUCUCAGAAUCCAAUUUUCUAAUGCAAAUCAAUGUAUGAUUGAUCACGUAUAAAUCCAUGCAUGCACCAAUCAAACAAACCAAUACAUUAAGUUGUACUCAUUGUUUUCUAGUUGUCCUUAUACACUACUUUCAUAUUCAAACACAAUUUACAGAAAUAACCAUUUACCUCAGAUUAUUCUUCUUCUUCCCCUUCUUUUUCCUCUUCUUUAGGGUUUUUUUCCAUCCCCUGAGACUGCAUUGGUUCCUCAUCAUCAACUUCCUGAAAAUUCAUACACAACCAUAAAAUUAAUAUUUCGCUGUACUACUUGUACUAGUUAUCUCAGAACAACAUUAUCAACUUUUCUCAGAAUUCAAUUUUCUAAUGCAACCCAAUGUAUGAUUAAUCACGUAUAUCCAUGCACCAAUUACAUAGACCUAUACUAUUAACUUGUACUCAUUGUUUUCUAGUUGUCCCUAAACACUAUAUCAAUAUUCACACAAAAUUUUCAUAAAUUUGUAUAUACCUCAGAAAUAUUUUCUUCUUCCGGUUCGUUAAGGUUUUCCGGAGACUCUUGUUCACAGUUUUCGUCUUCAAAUUUGUUUUCCUCUGCCACUUCUUCACGGUUCAUAUCCGCUUCACGGAUGAUCGUGACCCUCUCGUCUUCACUUUCACUCGAACUAGGAGUGACUAACCUUACACGACCCAUGAUUACCUUGCAAAACCACUCAACAAUCAAGGAAACCGUUCAAAUCAACACAACGAAAACACUCAAAAAUCAAAAACCGUUCCAAUCUACACUUACAAUUUGGAACGCCGGCGGUUUGGAACGACGACGGUUUGGAACAGCACCGGUCACGGCGGAAUUGCAACGGCGGUUAAACGGAAUUGCAAAGUGGAUGUCGACAAUUUUGAUUUUGUAAAAUGUUACUUAGGUUAAAAAAAUUCAAGAAAUCGUUUGGUGAAGAAGCAGAGAUGAAACCGGUGACGGUGAACUGGUCGGAAAAAGAAAGCGACGAAAAUUUUCGAGAAUCGCCGGAACAAAUCGCCGUUUAGGUUAAUCGGAGAAGAAAGCGACAAUUUUGAUUUUUGAA
rnacentral:sRNA from 1 species